AUCGACUGCAGGCGGAGGUAACACUUUGAGAGCAAAAGGUUACCACACUGGAGCAGGACCUGGAGGCUGCUCAGAGCCAAACUAGUGAGCAAAAGCAGCAGGGCAGAAAAGUAAUAGACUGCAUUAGGCAGAGAUGGAGCUGUAGGAAAUACAUGAAGCUCUGUAAAGAGAGAUUGUGAAGGCACACCAGCAAGAAGCUGGAGGCCCACAGAUGGAUUGUAGUACCUCACUGAUUCAACACACAGAAACCCAGCAUGUCCUCCCCUCAGUCUGGCUGCUGCUGCGUACGCAGGAGCUCAAGUCCAAGGUAGAGGUUUUGUGUUUAGUCACACGGGUCUCGUAUCCACAAGAUGCUCUCCACUGUCAACCAACUGGUCCUGGUACGAGGGUGUGGAACCUCUGAAAUUUGAGGUCAGG